rnacentral:rRNA from 1 species
AACGAACGCUGGCGGCAUGCCUAACACAUGCAAGUCGAACGAGACCUUCGGGUCUAGUGGCGCACGGGUGCGUAACGCGUGGGAAUCUGCCCUUGGGUUCGGAAUAACAGUUGGAAACGACUGCUAAUACCGGAUGAUGUCUUCGGACCAAAGAUUUAUCGCCCAGGGAUGAGCCCGCGUAAGAUUAGCUAGUUGGUGGGGUAAAGGCCUACCAAGGCGACGAUCUUUAGCUGGUCUGAGAGGAUGAUCAGCCACACUGGGACUGAGACACGGCCCAGACUCCUACGGGAGGCAGCAGUGGGGAAUAUUGGACAAUGGGCGCAAGCCUGAUCCAGCAAUGCCGCGUGAGUGAUGAAGGCCUUAGGGUUGUAGAGCUCUUUUACCCGGGAUGAUAAUGACAGUACCGGGAGAAUAAGCCCCGGCUAACUCCGUGCCAGCCGCCGCGGUAA